UCAGGCCAAGUGGAACUGGAGGCAAUGUCAUCAUUGGUAAAGGAGGACUUGGAGAAGAAACUGUUUAAGCCACUCUCCCAGAAUCUGUACGAGUUUAUUGAAAUAGAGUUCUCCGUCCAGGACAGGUAUUACCUCUGUGUGUCAGGUAAUCUAUUCUUUCUAUGAUCACUUCAAAAUGUAAAUAACCCCAAGGUGCCUGGGUGGUAGAGGGACAUUUCUGUGUUUGUUUUCCUGUAAAUUAACAGCACGUGUAUCUUCUGAUGAUAGAGCUUAACUAACUAUGCCAAGUUUAGGAAUUUGGAUGCCACAGAAUUUUGUUUUCAGUGCUAAAAUGGAAGACAGAAAAAUAAUAUCGUAUCAAGAAUAUUUUGAUUAAUUGUUCAGAAUGAAAGUGGGUUUGUGUUUUCCUGAUUUGAUUAUUUUGCCUCCAAUCUUUUAUUUAAUUCACUUGCAUGGUAUGCAAUCUUAAUGUGUAAGAGCUCAUCUUAAAAAAUUCAACAGAGAGCUUUCUGUAUAUUUUUAAAUACAGUGGAGAAUUGAGUUAUACAGCUCUAUUUCCAACCAGUCCGGACAACUAGGAUUCUCCUUUUUCAUGCUAGGAAAAAAAAAAGACCUUAAUUUUUCUUCCUGGUAGUUUAUUUUGAAAGGAUUUUUAAAAAUCCUUUCUCUUCUAGGAAGUAUGCUCACAGAAACAAUACUCUAAUCGUAGAAAUUAGUUCAUGAAGAUGGUAAGGGGCUGCUCUCUAUUUAAAAUAUGGAUUUUUCCCCUGUGUUUUUAAAAUUCACAAAAAUUGUCCAAAUGUGGGAAUAGGCUUUUGCACUUAAUUAUGAUUUGCUUAACCUGUAAUGAUUAUGCUGAAUUUAGACAGAAAUGCUUGUGCCAUUAUCAAACUUAAUGUACAGCAUUCCCUUUUCCCAAUCCCUGUCUUUUAAUACUUUUCAGGGGCUUAGGAGGAAAGAGCUCAGAAACUCUAAGUGUUCAUUAUGGACUUUCUUUUUUUAAGGCACACACCUCAGUAUUUUCAGAAAACAACUUAUAAUUCUUUUCCUGAUAAUUGCCUCAGAAGGACUCUCUAAAGUUGUCAAGACGGAGUACUGUGAGGGAAGUAGAACAGAUGUAAAUGAAGUGCUAAGAAUUUUUUUUAAUUCUAUCAUUCCUAGAUUCCUAAUAAGAACAAUAUUUACUCAAUAAUAAGAAUACUAAUAUUUAUCUAACACUUUACUUAGCAUAGUUUGCUGUAUAAAUAUAAAGUUUGGGGACUUGGCAUAUCAGCAAGGUAAAAAACUUAAUUGGCCAGGAAAAAGAAAGAAAUCAAAUUAUGGAAGAAAAGUCAAGUGAAAUAAUUUUAGAAACUGUAUCAUACCCAUGAAAUCACUAUAUCUUAAAGCAUUUUGACUUACUAUAUUAGAGAAGAUGCUUAUUCCAACAUUAAUAUUUAGUAAUUGUAUUCCUACUAUGAUCUUCUUUAUAAAGUUAAUUACCCAUCAUGUAUCAUUAGCAUACACAUAUUUUUAAGGCAAACUUAUAAAAAUAAAAUAAUCAUAACAACGUAUCUAACUUACCAGAUAUAUCUUAAUUCCUCCCUGCAACCAUAUAAUAAACUGAAAUUAUUCAAUCUGGCAUGAAAAAAAAAUCCCCUAGAAUUAAACUUUUGAAAAUGGAUAAUGUCUUUUCUUUCUGUUGUCAUUGAGUUCUAGGAAAAAUACCGUGGGCUGGGGUUAACUGCUGGUUUUUGUGUUUUUUGUUUUUUUUCUCCAUAAGUGACAUUAAUCCUUUUAACAAGGAUCAGAAGGUCAAGGGAUUAGCACUGUUAACAUGGGUGAAGGCACCCUCUUUAGGGUUCAAUUUCCUCAUCUGGCAAAUGACCUAGUAGAGAAGGUGAUCACUUUUAUUAGUAAAAUUCAAUGACUCUCCUGUGUAAGAAGAAAAAAAAAAACCCACCACAAGGUCCUCUCAGAUGUGAAGAGAAACAAUAUUGUGAUAUUUCACAUAAAAGUUAAGAUUAUUAGUCAUAUUUGUUCACUAGUUUUUCAUAACUCUCCUCUAUAUCACAUCCAUCAAUCUGAGAGCAUUUUCCCUAAGUAUAAUAUCUAUUUAUGACCAUUUCAAAUACAUACAGGCAGAAUGGUAAUCUAAAGUGAAGACCAAUGAUGAUUGAUAGACUUUAAUCUUUGACCCUGCUUUACUCAGAAAAUUUCUAUCGAUAUGAAUCAAACAGGUCAUAUCACAAUUAUUGAGGCAGGUAACUCCAGAUCUUGGCCACCUUCACAGAGUAGAAACACUCAUAGUUAUAAUUUUCUCUUUACAUCCUAUAAUCUAGCAGUUAUAAAUUUGCAAGAAUCAAAGGCUAGAGUAGCUGAAUUCCAUCAUGCAUUUUUCAAACUAAAGAAGAUAUGUUUCAAAAAGUUACAUUUUCUUUUUCUUUUCUUUUUUUUAAAAUUUUUUAAUGUUUAUUUAUUUUUGAGACAGAGAGAGACAGAGCAUGAACGGGGGAGGGUCAGAGAGAGAGGGAGACACAGAAUCUGAAGCAGGCUCCAGGCUCCGAGCUGGCAGCACAGAGCCCGACGCGGGGCUCGAACUCACGGACCGUGAGAUCAUGACCUGAGCCGAAGUCAGACGCUUAACUGACUGAGCCACCCAGGCGCCCCAAAAAGUUACAUUUUCUAUAUAUCUGAUCAGAAUCUGUCUUUUGGAGGGGUCUUACAACCAGAUGAUUGUGAUUUACUGUUAUCUUGAUCUUUUACCUAAUUGGUGUAAAAAAUCAGAUGUCAUGAACCAAAUCUCCCUCUCUGUAUUUUGUCAGGAUUCACAUUGAGGAUUUACUGGCACCUCAGAGUUAGUAAGGUCAUUUCUCCUUGGGAUUAGCUUCCCCUAGCCUAGAACAUCAUUAUCCACAUCAGUUAAAAGCAGCACUUCUUAUGGAGGAGGGAGGAACCUAUAAUAUGCAGGCACUAGAAAGGGAUAAGUCACUUGUGCAAUGGUGAGUGCAAAUGAAUUAAAGAACUUUUGAAGGACUUGAAAGAGUAUAUAGAGCUUUUGCCAUAAUUGAAGGAGAAGGGCGUGGUAGAAUGGAUCCUGGAAUGCUUGGAGUCAGUCAGAUCUGGUAUAAAACCUGACUCUACUUUGCCCACCUGCCAGCUGUGAAAUUCGGGGCAAGAUAAUUAACCUCCCUGGUCUCAGUGUUGACAUCUCUGAAAUGGAAAUAAUAACACCUACAUAUGCACAUAGUGCUCUCUUAUUAAAUCCUAACUAGGAAAAAACAAACGUGAUAAAUUAUGCUCCAAAGAAACAAAAUAAAAGGUAGGGUUAAAUUUUUUAAAUAUACAGAAAAAUAUAUCUACUGUGAAAAUGUAUGCUGAGAUAUAGUUAUAUAGUCUAUACUAUAAAUACUUUAAUAAAAAUAAAAUACAUACUGAACAUGUAUAAGUAUGUAUUUAAUAUAUAAUGAAGAAUAUAUAUUAUAUAUUUUAUAAAUAAAAAUUAUAUACAUAUUCAGAUGCAAGCUAUUUCAAGUAUUCCUAUAUACUUAGAAAAACAUUUUCAUUCAUAAAUACUAAUUUGAAAAUAAAUGUCAUUUUCUAGAUAUGAAAACAGUGUGUAUAAGUUCUCUAUACAUACUACAUUUUAAUGUUAGAACAGAACUUCUCUGUGAACCAGAGAAUCUAACAAUUUUGUCAAGCCAUUGACAACAAGAAUGGUGACAAUUAGAGUGUUAAAUAAGAAUAAAUUAACAAGGGGCGCCUGGGUGGCUCAGUUGGUUGAGCGGCCGACUUCGGCUCAGGUCAUGAUCUCACAGUCCGUGAGUUCGAGCCCCACGUUGGGCUCUGUGCUGACAGCUCAGAGCCUGGAGCCUGCUUCAGAUUCUGUGUCUCCCUCUCUCUCUGCCCCUCCCCUGUUCAUGCUUUGUCUCUCUCUGUCUCAAAAAUAAAUAAACGUUAAAAAAAAAAAAUUUUAAAAAGAAUAAAUUAACAAGAGAAAACCAAAAUAUUAGAGACUGCGUGGCUUAUAAACAACAUUUAUUUCUCACAGUUCUAAGAACUGGGAAGUCUAAGAUCAUGGCACCAGUAGAUUCAGUGUGUGGUGAGGAACUACUUCCUCAGAGACCACCAUCUUCCCCGUAGCCCUACAUGGUGGACAGGGCAAGGGAUCUUUCUGAAGUCUUUUUGUGAGGGUUCUAGUGCCAAAUCACCUCCCAACGUUUCUGUCUCCUAAUACCGUCAUCCUGGGGGUUAGGAUUUCAAAAAUGAAUUUGGGGGAACACAAACUUUCAAUCUAUAGUACUCAGUAGAGCCCCAAAAAUGAUUUUAUUAAAAUAUUUCUAGGAAAAACAUUAUUUGAAAGUUGCUUUUUUAAUGAAAUCAAUAAUAGCAUUCUCAACAACCCCAAGACAUCAUCAAUAUAUUGAGACAUUUUCACUGAGACUUUCUAUCUUUUAUCUUGUGGUAGUUUUUUCGUAUUACUUAAUUUCAAUGAUGGAAACAAUUAGGUGAUACUAGGAUUGUAAAGUAACAGUCAUUUGUUUAUUUAAAGUGUUUCUGUGCAGCUUAAUCGUGAGCUACUGUUUUUCUUCUAUCCUGUAAAAUUAUAUUGGUUCAAUUAGCCAACGUUCUUUCCAUUUAGCCUUAUAAAUGAUAGUGACUAUUUUACCAUAGUAAUAGAGGCAGUUAUUCAUGGAAGUGUUUAUUUUGAAAUUAACAGUGAAAAUAAAUGAUUGGCAUGAAGUUAAGAUCGUAAUUCUGAAAAUGCUAAACUAAAAUAUUAAUAUUGAAACAAGUUAUUCUGAAGUUCUCUGGGUCUCUAGAUAUUACUCACUAAAUCAUAAUUACAUAAUGGCACCUCUGAUGUUACUAAAACCAACUCUGUAACAUUUUGACUAUAUAAACACAUUUCUGUUUUAAGACAAUGUGAUAAGUUUUCACUUUGCCACUGCAUUAAUGUGGAUAUGGCCAUUUAAUUUUAGCCAGCAGCAGAGCACAAGUAUGGAAAUUAAGGAUUGGGUCCACUCCAGCCUGAGUAGACUUCUUUGACUCUUGGCUGAACACAGUUCCUGGAGCCUCCUUGACUCCAGAGGAGGCUACUUUUGCCAAAUUAAGUAGUCUGUACUGUCUCUCUGCUGCAUCAUUGUAUCAAAAGGUUAACUUUUAAAGAUGCUUAUUUUCUUAGUUUGUUAGUGGGACAGUAACCGUUAAUGUAAGAAAACUUAAUAGCCAACAGAUUCUACCUUCUCAACAUCUCUUUUCAUCCUUUACAGAACUGCCCAAGAAAACUUUCUAGAAUUUAAAGCUCAGCCUAUUUACCUAAAAUCCUUCAGUGACGUCCCUCCCCCCAAGUUUCCCCUCCACACACAGAGCUCUCAGAUUAACAUUUGAACGCCUUAGCAUAGCAUUCUAGACCCUUCUGGAACUCCCUCCUGCCUAACCUGCUUCCUACCACCUAUCCACCCUCACACUUCAUGCCAACAUACCGGAUAUCUACCAUGACUGAAAAGGGUCAAGUAUUUCAUGCUUUUGUACACAUACUGUUCUAAAACUUCCUCUACCCCUUUCUUCAUUCUCUUAACUCCCACUGCCCUGUACAACUCAGAUUACCCCCUUCAAAAAGCUCUCCCUGACCCCACCAGUCGGAUGAAGAUGUCCCUUCUUGAUUUUCCUGUAUUACCUGGUCCAUGUCUCAUUCACGGCACUGUGAUACUGUGUUUUCUUUCUAAGCCCCUACUCUCUGUAAUCUCAGGGACAGCAGGAAUGGUGCCCUAUGGGAAUUCACUUUUUCCAUGCCUAGCACAGGGCUUUGCACAAAAGGGGCACUCAAAUAUUUAUCAAAAUAAUGAGAUGAAUCAGUGACCCUAUAGGCAAUUGGCUAGUUAUCAAAACAUGUAGAUGAGGCAGCGGAAUUUGCUUCAAAUUACAUUUUCAUAUAGUAUCCAGUUAUUUCUCCGCAUAAGCAUCCUCUCCCACACUCUAAAUAGCAAGUGAGACAGCUAGCCAGAACAAGAACAUUGUCCUUUGGUUCUGAGGUGCAGCCUUUGUCUGAACAGACACAAUGUCUUCCUGGUGGAAGGAACUGCCUUCAUCAUCUUGUCCUUAAUAAGUAUGACAGAAUCAACUCUGCCUCCACUGCAACGCACCAUGCUAAUGGCUUCUUUUCUAAGCCUUUCCUCUUCCCAAAGCUAACAUCUAGAUCAGUGGAAAGGGACCUUUCUAGAGCUGGAGAAAUGUACAUGGGCAGGAACCCACAAAUUUUUGCACACCAUUUGUUUUUUUGAUGCCAGGUUCAGGUCUUCUGUUCUGGAUCCUUUCCGGGACAUGCCCCUCAAUCACUCCCUUUGUCCCCCAAAAUACACGAUCCCUACUCUUCCAAACUCUUGGAAUAUAUGAUCUAAAUCAUAGCCUUUAGUCUCUUUCUGUUUCUUGUUUUAAUCCUACCUAACCCUGGAACUGGCACACAGUAAGCUCUCAGUAUUAGUGCAUGAUGGAGAUUCCUGCAAGUUGUCUCUGCCUUCACCAUUCCAGAGAAACUGCCUUCAGGAAAGAAGUCAAUGGCAUUCCCCACACCAGAUUCUGUGUCAGGUCUGAACUCUGCUUUACCCAACAAAAUGACUUCACGGGAUGAUCUCCAAUUUUUUAAAUUCUCUGUCCUUAUGAUUUUCAUAGCAUUGCAUUGUUGGGCUUGUCUCUUCCCACAUCAUCUUCUCAGACCUCUCUGCUGGCACGUUUUUCUUCUCUGCUCUGUCUCCCUUCUUUGCUCUUUUCCCUAUGAACUUGGUCUUGGAAACCUGUCCACACAGAAAAAUUCCAAGUCUGUAUCUCCAUUCCUAAACUACAAACUUCCAGAGCACCUGGGUGGCUCAGUCAGUUAACCAUCUGACUCUUGAUUUCAGCUCAGGUCAUGAUCUUAGGGUUCAUGAGUUUGAGCCCCACGUCAGGCUCUGCACUGACAGUGCUGAGCCUGCUUGAGAUUCCCUCUCUCUCCCUCUCUCUCUGCCCUUCCCCUGCUCAUGUGCAUGCUCUCUCUCACUCUCAAAAAUAAAUAAAUUAAGUUAAAUAAAAAAAUAAUAAUAAAGAUGCUGCCUAAACUAUAAACUUCCAUCCCCUUCUUUUCUGAGAUAGUUUAUGGACACCUCAUCUGUAUGUCAAAAACUAAACUUAUUAUUCUGCCCAACCAGCUCACCCUCCAUACUUCCCUGUUUUGGUUUCCAUCAGGUGUUGUCAGUGCCUCGUUUGAAAUCUUACUCGGGUGUGCCAUGUCUAUUUCCAUUACCCACAUCCUGUGCCUGGAUUACAAGUCUCUUACACGAAAUGAAGCACUUUUAACAAUUACAAUUACUGCAAACCAUCUAUGUCCAUCCAUCUAUGUCCUUCAUGUACUUUAUCUUAAAUUGUUACACCCUGUGAGUUUGUAGAACUCUGAUGUCUACUUUCCAACAUGAGCAAUGGAGGUUUAAUCUCUCCAGUCUCCAGACAUGAAGUCAAUUACUCAGACCACACUGUAAAGAGUGGCAUCAUGAUUUGCAUCAAAAAUAUCUAAAGCCAGGGGCGCCUGGGUGGCUGGGUCGGUUAAGCGUCCAACUUCGGCUCAGGUCAUGAUCUCACGGUCUGAGGGUUUGAGUCCCGCGUCGGGCUCUGUGCUGCCAGCUCAGAGCCUGGAGCCUGUUUCGGAUUCUGUGUCUCCCUCUCUCUGUGACCCUCCCCCAUUCAUGCUUUGUCUCUCUCUGUCUCAAAAAAAAUAAAUAAACGUUAAAAAAAAUUAAAAAAAAAUAUCUAAAGCCAGAGCCCACUAAGUCUUGAUGCCUUUUCCAGGGACCUCUAGUCCCUCCUUCUUUUCUUCUUCAAUGUAUCUUGUGCAUUGCUGCUUCCAGAAAAUACUCCUUUAAUGGGGGCACCACUGUACUAGCCUCCUGUUCAAGGAGAAAAGAGACUUAUGAAUGUGUAUAACUGUAUGAGCUUUCACGGAAAACCUGACAGAGUGCCCUCUUCUUAGAUUUGUCAACCUGCUCAGACUCCCCUCUCUAGAGGACUGAACUCACUCAGCAGCUCUAAGCUCAACUGGUUCCCUUAAUUUCAGUAUCAUUUGCACCUUCAGAGGAUGACUACCCUCUUCCCCAGCCCCAGUUCUGGAGCCCUCGCUGCCCAGGCCUGCAUCACAACACUUCCACCAGGCAGAAGAUUCAGAUACCGCAAGUCCUCAGUGGUUUCUGUCCCUUUUCAAAUCCAUAGAUUUUCAAAACAUUUUCACAAUCUUCUCAGACUAGUUAAUCCUAUUGCUCACCAUAUCCUAAUACCAACCAAUCUAUACACUCCACUUUCUCUAAUCCUACCUAGUGAUGUUUAGUUUCUAUUGUCCAUUCAUUUCCUCAUGCUGUCCUUCACCUAUAAACACCUUCAAGUAUCAUCUCUGCCUUCCCAGAUAGGACCAAUUUUAAAUCCUGUAUCAAAUUCUAUUUCUCCCAUAACUAUAGUUAUUGUUUGUAUAUAAACCAUAACUAUAAUUAUAUAGUAUAUAUAGUAUAUAGUUAUAUAACUAUAUAGUUAUAUAGUUAUAGUUUCUCCCUUAACUAUUCCAAUCCUCCCCCUUCUCAGAACUCCUGUUGAACAUAUAUAGUCUGCUGUACAUUGCUUAUCUAUCAUUAUGAUUAUAUCACAAUGUAUUGCUUUAUAUCUUCUUAACUAGGAGGGCAUGCCAAAGUGGCACUUUCCAGAACCAAAAGAGAGUUCCUUAAAUACAAACUCCAGUCUCACUCUUAGAGGACAGAACCAGCUUGCAACUUUCUAAGAUGUCUAAGUGACAUCCAUCUUGAAAGAAGUUUAUAGAUAUUCAUUUUCCACAGCUACUUCUUUGUAAUAUACCUGUAUACUUGGGGUGCCCUUGUGGCUCAGUUGGCUAAGCGUCUGACUCUUGAUUUUGGCUCAGGUCAUAAUCUCACGGUUCAUGAGUUCCAGCCUGGCAUUGGGCUCUGCAUUGACAGCGUGGAGCCUGCUUGGGAUUCUCCCCCCACGCCCUCUGCCCCUUCCCUGCUCGCUUUCUCUAUCUCUCAAACUAAAUAAAUAAACCUUUAAAAAGUUUAAAAAAUAAUAUACCUGUAUACCAUUAUAAUAUAUAUUUUAUGUGCCUCAUGUGUGUUAGCAGUCUAGAGGGCAGGAACCAUAUCUCAUACUUGUAUCCCUCUGGCAUCUGUAAUAACUCUAUCAGGUAAAUAGCAGGUACUCAGUAAAUACUCCUUUCUUAACUCAUUGAUAAUUUUCAAUUCAGGAGUUCUAACAUCAAAUGUUGAUUCUUCUAAUGUAUUGUUAUGAGACCAAAGACAAUGUUUUUAAGGCCAAGAAAGGAUUUUCCUCAUUUUUUUCCCACAAUUAAAUAAGCAAUGACUUUCCCAUACCUUUCAAGGUAUAAUACUCAAACUUUCUGUCUUAAUGGCACAUUUUGAAUGCUAACAUUUGGAGACAUGCUAGAGAAGACUAAAAAUCUCAAACAAUACGGGCACCUGGGUGGCUCAGUCAGUUAAGCAUCUGACUUCGGCUCAGGUCAUGAUCUCGCGGUUUGUGAGUUUGAUCCCUGCAAGUUUGAGCCCUGCGUUGGGCUCUGUGUUGACAGCUCAGAGCCUGGAGCCUGCUUCAGAUUCUGUGUCUCCUUCUUUCUUUGCCCCUCCCAUGCUCAUGCUGUGUCUCUAUCUGUCAAUAAUAAACGUUAAAAAAAUUUUUUUUUAAUCUCAAACAAUUCCAAACAGGUCAACGGUAGCUGUGAUGCCCACACUUCUCCAUCACAAGUCUCACAUCAAUUUUUUUUUCAUUUUUUUUCACUGUAACUUUAAAAGAGAAGAUACAAAGUAGUACUCGUAUGGUCACUCUUCAACACUGCGUUGCUGUGUGAGCAGAACUGUUUGCUUUCCCGACCUCCCCACUCUCUCAUAUUGUUAUAAAUUAAAAUUCCAAUUUGUUCUGGUAAAUACCUUGGCAUUGACUGUAUGCUAAAGCAAAGCCUCUUACUUCCUGCCAGGAGUCGAACCCCAUUGUCCACCACAAAGCUCAGAGCUGAAAGCACAUAGCUCAGUGCUCCAUCUGACAGAUAUUACCACUGGCAGUCACAGCAGUCUGUAGCCACAAUUGUAGCAAAAAUUAAAUUAACAUAUGGAGCAAAUUGGGCAUACUCAUGAAGGCUCAGAUACAUCAGGGUUCAUAAUUGGGGUGCCGAUAUAACAUAGGCUCAAACUCAUUAUAUGAAAAGGAGAUACAUAAAUACCAAAAAAGUAUUAAAAGUAUAACUUGAUGAAUAAUUUAUUGUCUUCUAAGAGUUUAUGUAAACUGAGUGUUUUUUUCUGUCCUACAGUGACCAAAAAUGAAGAAGUAAAAAUAAUUAUGGUGAAACACUACAGAAUAGGCUUAGAUGAAAAAUAUGAAGUAACAAAAAAGUGGUCUUUGAACGAUCUGCAGAUGAUUGAUGGAAAAGAAGCAGAUACUGUAAGUGUUAUGUUUUGUAAGGGAGAUGUGGGAUCAAUAUGCCAGAAAUCUUUAUGUUCAAUAUCCUCUUUCAUAUUCUUGGCAUGUACUAAGUGUUAAGAUGACAUAUUGUUUUAAGUGGCUGGGUUAUUUGGCUGGGAUAAUCUACUGGGUUUUUUUGUUCUGUUUUUCUGAGUUUAAGCUUGAAUUUUUGUCUAUUAAAUUUAAAAACAUCUUUUCCAAGGGCUUGUUAACAGGUUAAACACAAUCUGCCAGUCAGUCCUGAAACUUUAAAUAUUUGAUGGUUUCACCCCACUCUCUCCCCACCCCAAGUUCCUCCAUUAAAUUUUGGGAAUUCCUUUCUCAUCUUCUUGAAACUGCUGUCGGUUAGCCACUUCAUCCUCCAGAAAAACCAAUAACUCUUAGAAAUCCUACAACCUUGGAGACGAAAGGGGGAAAAUGGCGUAUGUGCCCGUCUCUCCACGUGACCACUUAAUAAAUGGUUUCCUAUCAGUCUCUCCUUAAACUCUUCCACUGAUGGGGAAUGUGUUACCAUUGAGGAAGUCCAUUCAAUUUCUGAUUGCCAUACUUGUUUUUUUUUUGUUUUUUUUUUUUUUAAAUUUUUUUUUUUCAACGUUUAUUUAUUUUUGGGACAGAGAGAGACAGAGCAUGAACGGGGGAGGGGCAGAGAGAGAGGGAGACACAGAAUCGGAAACAGGCUCCAGGCUCUGAGCCAUCAGCCCAGAGCCCGACGCGGGGCUCGAACUCACAGACCGCGAGAUCGUGACCUGGCUGAAGUCGGACGCUUAACCGACUGCGCCACCCAGGCGCCCCCAUACUUGUUUUUAAAUCUCCUACUAUGUUUAACCAACAUCCACUUCACUCUAACAUCCAUCCAUCAGUCCUGGUUUAACCAUUUGGAGCCAUGUAGAGAAAAUCGGAUCCUCUUUUUACAUAGCAGCCUUUCCAAUAUUUGAAGAUAAUUAUAAUGUUCCCUCAGGUUUUCUCUUUUCUAGGUUAAGUGUACCCAUUUUAUUCUUUAAAUAACUUUCAUAUGAAAAUCAAAUAAGAUAAUAUGACAGGACAAUACAAAUGCUAAGAGGUCAUAGCAUUGUUAUUUUUACUCCCCCAUGCCAUUGCUUCAACACCCUUCACUACACUAUUUUCUCUCCUCUGGAAUGCUUCUGCUUUUCCAGAAUUAAAUACAAUACUUUAGAACUAGUGUGACUAGUUUGUAUUUCCUUUGAUCUGAAUUCUUUACUUCUAUUAAACACUAAUCUAAAACCUCAGUUCUUUUGUGCAUGAAUUACCAUUUAACCUGAUCUGCCAUACCCUCUACUUGCAUAGAAUAAAAUUUAAAUAAGGGUCCUUGAUGAUCUGGCCCCUUUAUUUCUGGUCAUUCCCCUUAACCUGUAUACAUCCACAGUGUUUAACCACUGACUCUUGAGGUUUAUAAUGCCCAGUCACCUCCAUCUUUCACCCCAUUCCCAGAUUCCCCAUUGGGUAAAGUCCUACUCAUGCUUCCCUUCCCCCAUUGCAUUGUGGAUGUAAAUGUGUUAUAGACACAAUUCUACAAACUGCAAUUGUUGACUUACUGUAUGUCCCCUCUGGAUGGAAACCUCCUGAAAAACUGAGACCAUUACUUUUGUUUUUGGUUUUUUAUCUUUUAUCGUAGCCUUCUGCCUGAUAGAUAGUAAGCACUCAGUAAGAAUUUGUGUUUUUGGUGGAUCAAUUAGAAUUUAAGCUUUUUUAUUCUUUUUUUUUUUUUUCAACGUUUAUUUAUUUUUGGGACAGAGAGAGACAGAGCAUGAACGGGGGGAGGGGCAGAGAGAGAGGGAGACACAGAAUCGGAAACAGGCUCCAGGCUCUGAGCCAUCAGUCCAGAGCCCGACUGCGGGGCUCGAACUCACGCACCGCGAGAUCGUGACCUGGCUGAGGUCGGACGCUCAACCGACUGCGCCACCCAGGCGCCCCUAAGCUUUUUUAUUCUUAAUCCUAGUAAAUAUCAUAUCCUUAGUUUGGCCUAUUGUUCCCAUCUAUCAAAUCUUUUAAUACUUUUAUUUUUUAAUAUUCACUGUAGUAUGAUGCAGUUUUUUUUUAAAUGGGAUUUUUGUUAUAAAGCAAUUACAAUUAAAUUUCAGUAGGUAAACAAAUGUUCUAACGGAAGUUGAAUUUAUGGUGGUUAGAAUGGUUUGUUUACUCUUGUGUCCCUCUGUUCUUUUUUUUUUAAUUUUAUUUUUUAUUUUAAUGCAGAUUUAAUGAGCACAACAUUUAGGACUUCAUUCAAGUCAAUAAUAAAUACAAUGAAGCAAGCAGAGCUAAGUGCCAUCUGGGUAACCUCUGGGUAAUUGAAAGGUUACUAUUACCACACUUGUAGUACUGCUUAGUAAACUCACCAGAUGCCAGGAACCACAUGAAGGUCUUUUCAUAUAUAAUUUCACAUAAUCAUCACAAAACCCCAAUGAAUUGGAUUCUAUUAUUACAUCCAAUUUUUAGACGAGGAAAAUGAAACUUAAAGAGAUUAAUUGACUUGCCCAAGGUCACAAAGCUAUUCAGUGUUUUGUGGGUGGAGUCAGACUUUACCCAGAAAUCUAUUAACAUGUCUUCUUUGUACUGCUUGUUUAAUGUCUCUAUGUAUUCAUAUAUUCACUCAUUCAUUCAUUCAUUCAUUCAUGGAGAAUUUGUAGUAUCCCAGGCUUUGCUAGGCUUUGAAGAUAGUGGUGAAAUAGACAGACAUAAGCACUUAAUUCUGCCUUCCUUACUUAUUUACUUGAUUAUCUAGUCUGAAUUCCUGAAUUUUGCCCUUAUGAUCUUUACUGAAAUCAAUACAUGCUAUCUGUUAUUACCCUGACAUCACCUAGGAAUCAAUCGUAUUUUAAAAAUUUGGUGUGUUUGGCAUAACUUCUUGGCGAAAGCAUGCUGGAUUUCAUUGCUUUUUUUCCUAAGUACUUACCUAGCAUUUUUCUGAUAAUACAUUCUACCUAAAAGUUCAAUACUUAGGAAAUAGUUAAGCAUAUUAUUGCAUAUCAAUAGCUGGAAUGUCACACAGCCAUUAAAAAUCAUGUUUCCACAAGAAUGCCUCUGAACACAAUUAUUCACCACUGAAUACGUUUUUUAAAAGUCGGCCAAAUACAAAACUUCUUUGUAUUAUUAUCUCAUUUCGCAUAUUUAGAAUAUUGCUUUUUUUCUUACAUUUGUUUAUUUUUGAGAGACAGAGAGAGACAGAGCACAAGUGGGGCAGGGCAGAGAGAAAAGGAAACACACAAUCCAAAGCAGGCUCCAGGCUCUGAGCUGUGAACACAGAGCCCAACGCAGGGCUCGAAUUCAAAAACCGUGAAAUCAUGACCUUAAUCAAAGUCAGACGUUUAACCGACUGAGCCACCCAGCACUCCUAAAAUAUUGCAUAUUAUUGAAAACUGAAAUCUGAACUUUAAAUUUGAAUACAAAAAAUACAUACAGGUAUAUGUAUGUGUGUGUGUAUAGGUAUAUAUGAAAGACACCAGUGCUUUAAUAAUAAUUAUCUCUGUGUGAUAGGAUUACAUAUUUUUAAAAUUAUUGUUUCUUCUUUAUACUUUAUGUACUUGCCAAAAUUUCUAUACUGCAUUGAAUUUUAUCAGAAAUCAAUGUCAAGUUCACUAAUCUAGUUUCAGGAAUUAACCAUCCCCACCUCAUUUUUUUGCCCAUUUUUCUUUCCUUUCUCUCAAAUUCUCAAAUAUUGCUGAUGUCAUAAUGACUUUCUACAAGCUUGGUUAGUGCCUGGGGUUUCAUUCAGCAAGGCUGUCAACUUAGAUUCCAUAGAAGCAGCUCACUGUGCUCUAUUUUCUCCUCAUGUCCUGGCCUUAAUUCCAUCCCAAUCUUGUUGAUUCUUCCCUUUCCCAUUGAAGAUCAUCAUCUUUGAUAGUGAACUAGAUACAAAAGAGAAGCUGAGUGUUUCUAAUUUUCUCACCCUUUAUGACCUCAAACUACUGAACUGCCAGAAAAAAAAAAAAAACUAUAAUAUCCACAGUGCAAUUCUUUUAAAGAUGAAAUGAAAAUAUCCCAGGUGUUCUGGGAAUUUCUACUUUCUCUCUCUUGGAAUUGAAUCCUCAGGAGUCAGCAGUUAUUAUAUUUUUCUCAAUAGCAAUGGUACAGCUUUAAAUAGAACAAUUUUGAGCCAGAGAGUUGUCAACUUUAAAAUGGAAUGGAAUUGAAAUUGAAGUCAAUUUAUAAAGCAGAAAUCAAAAGGACUGGGGAUUUGGAGAGUGAUGUGGUAUAACAGGAGAGAGGAUGGUGUAAUAAAACAUGGGGCUGAGUUGAUUGAGAUCUUGGUUCUUAUCCUGCCUCUGCCAACAACUACACAUGUGACCUGGGCUUCACUUCUCUGGAAACUAUUAUCCCAGCUAUAAACAAGAGAUCACUGAGUGGUCUAUGAGACCCCCUUUUGACUCUAGGAUUCUAUUGAAAGAAAGAACAAGAGAAGGGAGGGAGAAAGAGAGGGAAGGAGGGACUUAUAUUCUAUGUACAUGCCUGCUUAGGCUUCAUUUAUUAAGCUAAAGGAGAAAAGUAAUCUCCUCUGAGUAUCUUAAAAGCAUAACCGGAUAUUUUCUACAAGAUAAGGAGCAAACAAUUCAGUAAGAAAACUAUAAAGAGUGUGAUUAGUAUCUGAUAAUGGAAUGGGUGUGAUUUUCUUUUAUUGAGAUUUCCUGCAGAAGUGUCUUUCAAGCUGCAAUUAUGACAGCCAGGAAAAGUUUUGUAAGGUGUGGUUAAGGAGAACAAUGCAUUUAAAAUUACAGCACUUCUGUACAUUCUUUUUUAAAAGCAUUGGUUUUUGUUUUUUGUUUUUUGUUUUAAUUAAUGGUAUAGGGAUGCCUGGGUGGCUCAGUUGGGUAAGCAUCCAACUUUGGCUCAGGUCAUGAUCUCAUAGUUCACGGGUUCAAGCCCCGUGUUGGGCUCUGUGCUGACAGCUAGAGCCUGGAGCUUCUUUGGAUUUUGUGUCUCCCUCUCUCUCUGCCCAUCCUACACUCACACUCUGUCUCUCUUUCUCUCUCUCAAAAAUAAACGUUAAAAAAAUUGUUUUAAAAAAUUAAUGGUAUAAAGCAAGGUGGUAUUAACACCAGUAUCACAAUUUGGGGUGGGGGGAGCAGGUUUGGGAAAGGGAAAGUCCUUAUUAUGUAAUUUAUAUAAUUAAUCUUAUGUAAAAUUCAUAGCAACCCUUUCUUAAAUGAGCAAAAAAGUGCAGGUCAGGUCAGAUCAGAUAAGUACUUUGUCUAUGGUUACAUCACAGAUUCAAAAUGGUUAUCUAACUUCAAAACUCAUAUUCUUUCUCCUGCCUCCUGCAAGAAUUUUCCUACUUAAAAAACAAAUUGCCAAAAUAUAAGCUGUUUGUAUGUAAUAUUUAGAUACUAGAUGGUAACUAAUUAUUAAUAGUCUGCUUUGGUCUCUUUCUGCCUUCUUGUCAUUCAAGGCAUUGUUUACCUCCACUUCUCUUUUUGUCGGACUACUUCAAAUCAGUUCAACACACAUUUGUUGAGAACUUAGUAGUUGCCAUGGCUAAGCACCAGGAACACAAAGAUAAAUAAUUCAAAACGUCUGCCCUCAAAAAGAAGGGUUAGGCAGGUAAUGAAUAUGAAAGCACUUAGUAAACUGAAAAGCACAUUAUAAAUGCAAGGUAUUGUUGUUACUAAUAUUAGUAACAGUGGCAAUUAUUAUUAUUUUAACAUAUAGGACUUAGAUGAGGUUUGAUGUCCACUUUUUCUCAAAACACCUCCACUAGAAGUAGAGCAACAGUCUAGAGGCAGUUAAUCAACAGAGGCAGUCUUGAGUAAUUUCACAGUUUCAGUCAAAUGAUUUAAUGAUCCUUGCUAUUAACUUCUAAGGUAAUUCCUUGCUAUUAACUUCAAAGUCAGCAAGUUGGUGAUUUGUAGCAUGCCAAAGGCUACUCUUGCCAUCUUGUAUUUCCCCCCUUCUACCAUUGUAAUGGCACAAAGGACCAACCUCCUAGUAAAGAAAAGGAGAAUUUUUUUCUCCCCCCCCCCACCUUAAAUAAGUGGAUUUAUUCUCUUUUUCCAUCCCUAUCCAUCCUCUCAUCUUCCCUGGGAAGACUUGAUAACUGUGCAUUCUUGGACAUGUUUUGUUUGGAAAAUUGAAAAAUCACAGAUGCUUCCAGAGUAAUCUUUCAUAUUGUUGUUUUUAGAAGAAAUAUGUUUAAAGCAGGUAGCUUUGGAAAUCUCAUUUGUAGAUUUUAGAAAUAUGUUUGAUACUGAUACUUUAUGAUCAAUAAGCAUGUACAAGAGAACAUGAGAGAAUCCCCCAGGAAAUCUAACUACUUUCCUGGCUACAAACAAAAUCACAUCUCUCUUUUUCCUCUAGGACAAUCCAUUUUUUGAUCUGCACUUCAAGAAAGUGUACAGUUUGGAAGCAUAUAGUUGUGCUUCUAAAUAUGCCUUUGCUCGAACUGUGAAUAAGCUGAAUCAUGCAUAUCUUAAGAAGGACUUGCAGAUUGUGAACUUUGAUUCUACUUACAUUAAUGAUGAUUCCAUUUGGUCCUCAAACAAUAAGGAUUGCUUGGUUCUUAUGAGAAUAUGCUUUUAUGCUUUCAAUCUAGUAUGCUUAUCCCUGUGUCCCCUGCCACUCUGAAGAUAUAUACUAUGUUCCUUCAUCUGU
rnacentral:lncRNA from 1 species